rnacentral:rRNA from 1 species
UACGAGAGGCGCAAACGUUAUUCGGAAUUACUGGGCUUAAAGAGUUCGUAGGCGGCGCAGAAAGUAGGGUGUGAGAGCCCUCGGCUCAACCGAGGAAUUGCGCCCUAAACUACUGUGCUUGAGGAAGCUAGAGGUGAGCAGAACAGAUGGUGGAGCGGUGAAAUGCGUUGAUAUCAUCUGGAAUACCGGAGGCGAAGGCGGCUCACUGGGGCUUUUCUGACGCUGAGGAACGAAAGCCAGGGUAGCGAACGGG